UAGGGGGAAAGUUUCUUUGAAGUUAAGGGCGGUUUCCAGAAAGUGGUGGGGGGCGGUUUGUCCCGGGAGCGGCACAGCCUGUGGCUCAGGAGCCCGCCGAGCACCCGUGCCUGGAGUUGUGACCUAAAGGGACUUUCUUUCUGUGCCCGGUAUAGCUACACGGUAUAGCCUCGUUCCUCAUUGUGUGAAUUCUUGUAGCUACCCCGGCAAAGCAGAUUUUCUCUUCCAAAAUGACUUUACAAGCUCUGGUUUUGUGUUUGGCAUAUUCUGGGCUUGGAAAGGCAAAUGUGGUUCCUCAGGCUGGACACACAAUAGUGAGGAUGGGUGACAGUGUGACUCUGAGCUGUGCCCUGACAAAACCCAUGGAUGUUCUGCAAGUGACAUGGCAAAAGGACUCAGAAGAAUUACAUGAUAAUAUAGCUACGUACAGUGAAACGAACGGGUUAAGGAUUCAGAAGCCCUAUGAAGACAGAAUGAAUUUCACAAGUUUGGAACUCAACAAGACAAGCAUAACUUUUUGGGACACUAGAAUGGAUGAUUCAGGAUGUUACAAGUGUCUCUUCAAUGUUUUCCCUUCUGGUCCUGUCUCAGGAAAUACCUGCCUGAGUGUUUUUGGUCUCAAUGUAUCUGUCCAUCACAACAUUUCUGAAGGUCAUGUGAUAGUCAUCUGUAAUGCUAAUGGCCUCCCAGAGCCCACCAUCACCUGGAGCAACCUGUUCAAUUCUACUCCUACACAGAAGACAGUCAAGCACAAAAACGGGAUUGUGUCCAUCACCAGUAAACUGGAAAUCUACAAUAUUCAGAGCAUCAGUGCACAGGAUUUGAUCUGCAGAGUAAGCAACACAAAUGAAACAUUUGAAAUCCCGGUGAAAAUAAAAGGAGAAGAGGUAUCAUCAUUGCUUUGGCUGGUGAUUAUUGUGGUGCUUUUAGUAGUCAUCAUAGUUCUGAUUCUGAUGAUGCUGUUCUGGAGGAAGAUCCUGUGCAGGAGGAGUUGAAGUGCUGAGUCACCAAUGUGUGGAAACGUGGUUUUCCUAGAGCCCAUAAUAAGGAUCCCUGAGAAUUUCCAUCCAUCUACCAGAUCAUUAAAAGCUAGCAUCCUGAAGUCAGCAUUGCACAUAGUGACUUGACUGGCUGGAAAGAAGCAGCAAAAAAAGGAGAAGACAUCAUAUACACUGCCCUGUCUGGAAGCUGAGUUCAUCACUGAAAUGACUAACACAACAUUUGCUAUCUGGUCUAGGCCCUUAAUCUUAAAAUGUAGGACUGGAGGGACCACUUGGUCUGCUGUUCUGCAGAGCAGGAGAUUUUGUCAGGCAAAACCUUCUUUACCCAUGCCACUCUCUCUUGGUGCUGCUGCUGGCCAAAAUGUAUUUGUCUUCUUCCAGCUGAGUUUUGAAAAUGUCGAUGGGUAGAAGCUCUGCAGACUCUCUGGGGAUUCUCUUCCAGUGCCUAAUUGCUCUUGCAGUAGGGAGGGAUUUAAUUUUUGCCAACAUCUGUCUGCAAUUUCACUUGCAGCAACUCUUGAGUUCAUCACCCCCUUCCUGUCAUGGUUUUUCUUCUCUCAUCUUAGUUGUUAUGGCUCCUUUUUCUCUGGAAAGAUCUGCUGGACUCAAAAUCACAGGACUCGAACCACACAGCAUUUGGCAAAAUUAUGGGGAAGAGCAAUAGGUCUCCAAGCAGGUGACUAAAUAAAGGCAGUAGCAGCCACAAUUUGGAAAGAAGAAUUGUAAGUAAUUUGUAUAAUAUAUAAGUAAUUUACUUUAUUUGACUUUUUUCUAAUCCUAGAGUGUUUUCUUCUGUGUUUUCUGGGUUUUUUGGGAUGUGUUUGAUGAGGCUAAAUAUAUAAGUGAGGAGAAGGUGGUUACAAAGACCAGUAGUGGAAGCAUUGUCCCUAUCCUACUCUUUGCUCAGCUGUCAAAAGGCGUGGAUUUUGUCAAUAGUUUUUGUGCUCAUCUUAUGCACUGUUCCAGGUAGUCUUCCCUGUCUUCAUCCAUUUUUAAACACAGAUAAAUUGCUUAGUUGGCCAAAAGCCAUUAUUCCAUGGCUGGACCUCAUUGGGUGGGAUGUCACACACUGAGCUCACUGUCCCGUGUCACCACUGUGGCUGCAAUGAUAUCAGCUGGCAGUCUUACAGAGACUGAGCUUACUGAUUUGUCAUGCUGCUGGUAGCAGAUAAAGACACUGCACUAUUCUUAGGAGCUGGGACCUAAUUCUGCUCCUGUCCCAGGCUGGAUUGGAGCUUCUCUCCCACCGUCCCAAGCUGCUCAUCACUGCCAGCCCAAGCCUGCCAAUCCGGCCAUUCCCAGGCUCCAAGUUCCAGGUGCUUGGCCCCCUAUGGCUGGGCAGCAGCAGGCUGCUCAGGAGCGCGGAGCACUCCUGGGCAUUGCCCUGCAGCUCCUCAUCUUUGUGAGGGGUGGAAGGCUCCAGAUGCCUUCUGCCUUGUGCUUGUUUUGGUUGGGACAGAGUUAAUUUUCUUAACAGACAUUAGUAUGAGGCCGUUGUGGUUUGAAUUUAUUUUAUUGAUGCCUUGUGUUCUGUUGUACCCCCAUGUUCUCCCUGAGUUGGUUUACCCCUGGGUUUUACCCUCCCUCAAAGCUGUCCCUUAUACCAUUGCCUGCCCCUUGUUCCAGCUCUUUCCCUGCCCGUCAAGCCAACCCAGCCCUUGAUUCCCAAAGCUUUUCUGCCACUUAAACCUUGGGCCCAUCCCAUCCCUGUCUGCAACACCCCUUUGAAAUUCCGCUACUCCUGGAAGCGCCAUUGGCCCAUGUGACCCAUCCUCUCCACCCUCCUGCCCCAACUGGUCCCAGACGCUGGAUGUAAUCCCGUCACUCCUGCCCUGAGAAUUCCCUAUUGUUAGCUGUUAGUGUCCACCCCCUGACUUGUAUCUGAACAGAACUGCUUGCACAACCCUGUUGGAGGAUUUCUGUCCUGCUCCUUUGCGCUAAACGUUCCUUGUGGAAGCUCAGGACAGAGAGCCUCCUCCUUUCUCCUCUGCGUGGUCCCUGUCCUGGCUUGUGUCUGGCACCUUAGAGCAAGUGGCUCUGAAGGUUCUGCUCUGUUGAAUCCCCAUACCGAGACAGUUCCCCACUCCUGGCGUGGUGCCGGAGCUGUAAGCUGCCCGGGUUCUGGCAGCCCCUUCAUGAGGCUGUCCUUCUGGCUGUCCCCUUCCUUCCUGGUGGCUGUGCAGGCAGCUGAGUGGUGCUUAGUUGCUGGCUGGGGAUAAACCAUGGCAGCAUCUGAACACCUUCACGGGGCUCUGCGCCUGCCCCACUGGGCAAAGAUUGCUGAGUGCAAGUCUGCCCCUGGAUGUGCCUUCUCAGUGGCCCAUUUUUACUGACAGGACAGACAGAUGAGAGGACUGCAGGGGAUCCUCGGGUGAUUUUUUGUUCAGCUGAUGAGUGCUAGAGUUUAAGGUGUUUCUCAGUCUUGUUUCUGUUUGAAUGUUUGUCAUUGUAUCCGGAUCACUGACAGUAUUGUCUUUCCUUUUGGCUUUGAUGAGCAUUUGUUCAUGCAUCUGAAAUACUCCUUCAUACCAGAGUGCAUAGAAUUUUGGACUGUGCUUUUUAUGUCAUAUGUUUACUAAGGGUACCAACUGUCAAGCUGAAAAAUCAACAAUGGAGAUUUAAAACUUAGGACUCAGUGCUCAGAGCAGGUAUUUUGCUGGUUCUAGAGCUGUUGCCUGUACAGAGACUGGUAAAAACUUCAGUGUGUCUGUCUGCUUGAGUUACUGAGGAUGUGAGAGGUCGUGUUUGCUCUACUAUUGUAGAUGCAAUAUGAAUUAUUUAUUUGUACCUUUCACUUUUUCUAAUUUAAAGAAAAAAAAAAUCUGACCCAACCAAAACACCAACUGGUCCUUUUUUUUUUUUUUUGUCUACUUGUUUGAGAUACCAGAAAUGUGUCAUUGAAAGCUGUAGUAGUUUUGAUUUAUAUUUUGCUUCCUUCCUGAACAGAAAAUGGGAGUUCAUGGGGCUUUUAGGGUGUUUUGGGCUAAUUUUUCUUUUUAAAAGAAGGUUUUGAACAAAACUUUUGAGAUAAAUUUACAGAAGUAUUUUUGACCACAGCAGCUGAAGUUUAGUUCAGAUUUGAAAAUAACUUCAGUCAAUUAAAACAGUGUAUUCUGUAUUUUUACAAUUAUUGUCUGUGUCACGUGUGUUGCUUAAUUAUUUUUUAUCUAAAGUUAUGUGUUCUAUUGAUAUAUUGUCUGUCUUGUUUUCUGUAUU